rnacentral:rRNA from 1 species
AGAGUUUGAUCAUGGCUCAGGAUGAACGCUAGCUGCAGGCUUAACACAUGCAAGUCGAGGGGAAACGACAUCGAAAGCUUGCUCUUGAUGGGCGUCGACCGGCGCACGGGUGAGUAACGCGUAUCCAACCUGCCCAUCACUUGGGGAUAACCUUGCGAAAGUAAGACUAAUACCCAAUGAUAUCUCUAGAAGGCAUCUGAAAGAGAUUAAAGAUUUAUCGGUGAUGGAUGGGGAUGCGUCUGAUUAGCUUGUUGGCGGGGUAACGGCCACCAAGCAACGAUCAGUAGGGGUUCUGAGAGGAAGGUCCCCCACAUUGGAACUGAGACACGGUCCAAACUCCUACGGGAGCA